GAGGGGAGCCAGCAGGGAGCUUGGCCAGGUGGGAACAGGUCCGGGCUGGACUGCAUGAGUUGGGCCAAAGUCCAGACCUGAGCUGUCCCCAGGACACAGCCCAGGAGAGCAGCUUGUGCAAUGGACCCACCCAGGCAGCCAGGACACUCUGCUGCCCGCACCAACGGCCGCACGCUCACGCCUCGCUGUGCUGUCUGUGCUCUGAACGCUGUCCGCACCAGCGGCCGCACACUCACGCCUCGCUGUGCUGUCUGUGCUCUGAAGAUUCUUCAAGGGUUCCAGAGCUUUCUGCAGGAAGAGGCCGACAUCAGUCUAACAUGCGACCGCAAAUUACAAGACAAAACGCGGAGGACGCUGUCAUCGGGCCGACGUUCACUCAGCAAACCUGCCUGCUGUGAAGAAUGAAUAGCUGUGUCAGAGCCGUAGAAAAGGAGAAAGCUGCCUCUGAAAUAGUCUCCAUCCCUGCCUCCGCAGGAAGAGAGCAGCUAUGACGCCUCUGUUCAGGUGUGCCAGGGCCGGGGAAAAGCGGGGCACUUGGCCUUCCCAGCACCUGGGGCACUGCCACGUCGGCCACCUCCACCCCAUGUGAACCCCACUCCUCCGAGAGUUCAGACUGGGACCAGUCACACGUGGUGUCCAAUGCUGGCUCAUUAUGCAUUUGUCAAAACCCACAGGAUGUGCAACACAGGGGGCCCGACGCGAGUGUGGAAUUUUGUAACUGACCGCGUGUGAUGUCGGCCCGUCGGUGGUAACAGGUGCACCUCGCCAGCAUAACAUGUUAAUUACAGGGGACAUUGGUGGCAGGGGAGGGGCUCUGUACUUUCUGCUCGAUUUCCCAUAAGCCUAAACCGCUCUAAAAACAAACAUGUGACAUAACUUUUUAAAUGAACUCAAAA